rnacentral:lncRNA from 1 species
UAAAAGAAUCUUAAUUAUGAGUAUGUCUCACUACUCAUGAGAUAGACAGUGCAUGAGGUUCCUUGUCCUCUUAAGCUUCUAAUCAACCGAUAAACCAUCUGAUUUUGCUAUCUAAUUUUUCUGCACCAACCUCUCUCUGCAACAGCCUUUUAUUGUCAAAGAUAUAGCAUCUGGUUUUGCAGCCACUGAGGUUUGAAAAAACAUAAUAACCUGUAAAAUCUACAUAUUGCUAACCUAUAGAAACCACAGUUUUAAAUUCUUCAAAACCACUUUGCUACUUUUAUUUUUAACCAGUUCUAAAUAUUAUGUCUACAGCAUAAAAGGAAGAAAGUUAUCUUAUAGUUGUUAUUUUAAACUAUUAUAGACUGCAAGUCACACCUUAAUUUUCUUUUACUUAAACCCCAUCUGCAAUCUCAAAUUUAAGUUCUCCUGGUAGAAAUUGAAUCUGAGCAUGGAUAUCUACUAAGAAUUUCAGCUUCCCACACACAUUUACUAGGAUGAUGAAGACUUACGUUUUCUGCACAUGUCUACAAAAACUAAAAUUAUAAGCUAAUUUAUCCAAGAGCCAAAGUUUGUG